rnacentral:rRNA from 1 species
UCCUACGGGAGGCAGCAGUAGGGAAUCUUCCGCAAUGGACGAAAGUCUGACGGAGCAACGCCGCGUGAGUGAUGAAGGCUUUCGGGUCGUAAAACUCUGUUGUUAGGGAAGAACAAGUGCUAGUUGAAUAAGCUGGCACCUUGACGGUACCUAACCAGAAAGCCACGGCUAACUACGUGCCAGCAGCCGCGGUAAUACGUAGGUGGCAAGCGUUAUCCGGAAUUAUUGGGCGUAAAGCGCGCGCAGGUGGUUUCUUAAGUCUGAUGUGAAAGCCCACGGCUCAACCGUGGAGGGUCAUUGGAAACUGGGAGACUUGAGUGCAGAAGAGGAAAGUGGAAUUCCAUGUGUAGCGGUGAAAUGCGUAGAGAUAUGGAGGAACACCAGUGGCGAAGGCGACUUUCUGGUCCGUAACUGACACUGAGGCGCGAAAGCGUGGGGAGCAAACAGGAUUAGAUACCCUGGUAGUCCACGCCGUAAACGAUGAGUGCUAAGUGUUAGAGGGUUUCCGCCCUUUAGUGCUGAAGUUAACGCAUUAAGCACUCCGCCUGGGGAGUACGGCCGCAAGGCUGAAACUCAAAUG